rnacentral:sRNA from 1 species
AAAGAAAAAAUAGAAAAAGGCGCCAUUAAAAGUAGUAACCAACAUAUACUUUAACCGAUGGCUCAAAAACUUCGUUCUCUUAACAGGUGUGGGUUUCCUCGCAAUUGUCUUGCAAAUUUGCGAGGGAAAUAUUCGUCGCAAAGUUUGCGACGGAAUAGCGAGUUGGUCCUGUUCUUUCGGAGAGAUCUAUUCGUCGGCGAAGAAGAGGUUUGUCGGAGAGAUCUAUUCGUCGGCGAAGAAGAGGUUUGUCGGAGAGAUCUAUUCGUCGGCGAAUUUGAGGUUUGUCGGAGAGAACAAUUCAUCGGCGAAUUUGAGUUUUAUCGGAGAGAACAAUUCGUCGGUGAAAACGAAGAGGUUUGUCAAAAUGAAACUGAAACCUU